rnacentral:tRNA from 1 species
UCCUCGAUAGCUCAGAGGUAGAGCAAUCGGCUGUUAACCGAUGGGUCGUAGGUUCAACCCCUACUCGAGGAG